rnacentral:rRNA from 1 species
GAGCCGUAGGGAAACCGAGUCUUAACCGGGCGUUAAGUUGCAGGGUAUAGACCCGAAACCCGGUGAUCUAGCCAUGGGCAGGUUGAAGGUUGGGUAACACUAACUGGAGGACCGAACCGACUAAUGUUGAAAAAUUAGCGGAUGACCUGUGGCUGGGGGUGAAAGGCCAAUCAAACCGGGAGAUAGCUGGUUCUCCCCGAAAGCUAUUUAGGUAGCGCCUCGUGAACUCAUCUCCGGGGGUAGAGCACUGUUUCGGCUAGGGGGCCAUCCCGGCUUACCAACCCGAUGCAAACUGCGAAUACCGGAGAAUGUUAUCACGGGAGACACACGGCGGGUGCUAACGUCCGUCGUGAAGAGGGAAACAACCCAGACCGCCAGCUAAGGUCCCAAAGUCAUGGUUAAGUGGGAAACGAUGUGGGAAGGCCCAGACAGCCAGGAUGUUGGCUUAGAAGCAGCCAUCAUUUAAAGAAAGCGUAAUAGCUCACUGGUCGAGUCGGCCUGCGCGGAAGAUGUAACGGGGCUAAACCAU